AAUAGAUACCCCGGUAGUCCACGCCGUAAACGAUGAGUGCUAGGUGUUAGGGGGUCCAACCCUUAGUGCCGAAGUUAACACAUUAAGCACUCCGCCUGGGGAGUACGGCCGCAAGGCUGAAACUCAAAGGAAUUGACGGGGGGCCCGCACAAGCGGUGGAGCAUGUGGUCUAAUUCGAAGCAACGCGAAGAACCUUACCAGGUCUUGACAUCCCUCUGACCUCUCUAGAGAUAGAGAUUCCCCUUCGGGGGCAGAGGUGACAGGUGGUGCAUGGUUGUCGUCAGCUCGUGUCGUGAGAUGUUGGGUUAAGUCCCGCAACGAGCGCAACCCUUGAGAUUAGUUGCCAGCAUUCAGUUGGGCACUCUAAUCUGACCGCCGCAGACAAUGCGGAGGAAGUGGGGAUGACGUCAAAUCAUCAUGCCCCUUAUGACCUGGGCUACACACGUGCUACAAUGGAUGGUACAAAGGGUUGCGAAGCCGUGAGGUGAGCCAAUCCCAUAAAGCCAUUCUCAGUUCGGAUUGUAGG
rnacentral:rRNA from 1 species